GUGAAAUUGGAUCCUUCUUGAGAACAAGAGACACUAAUGAGAAAUAUAUUUCAAAAGUGCUGUUAUAUCAAAUCAUCUUGGACUGACUGAAAAUACUUAAAUAUCUAUAUUAGUAAAUUAAUAUUUGUAAAUUAUGGUUCUGGUACAUUUCCAGGAAAUCAGGCUUUGUUCAUAACAGCUGUGUAAGCUGUCUGGGAGCCAUGACAGGGAGUGAUGGUUGGCAGACUGAAAAUGGGAGGACCAAGGCAAGCAGUUCAACAGAUUUACACCCUGGAAGACCCACACUUCCCCUCUUUUCCUGCACAUGAAGAAUCUAUGAAGGCAGAAGAGGAUUUUCUUUACUCAUCCGAAGAUACGUACAACUACAAGAAGACAUUUGCUGAGAGACUUACAACAAUCUGCUCAGCACUUGACUUUGCAAUAACUCUGGCUACUUCAUACAUUAUUAAAAAGAGCAUUUGGUAGCACUUAAAAUGAAAAUCAUUCAACUCUGCCUCUAUGUACUCAUACAGAAAAGUGAAUUUUAUUUGGUG
rnacentral:lncRNA from 1 species